AAUAUUCUAGUAUGAGAAAUUAACGAUUUAAGUCCUUCUUAAUGAGGCCAUUACCCAUAGAGGGUGACAGGCCCGUAUAACGUUAAUGAUUACUAGAUGAUGUUUCCAAAGAGUCGUGUUGCUUGAUAGUGCAGCACUAAGUGGGUGGUAAACUCCAUCUAAAACUAAAUAUAACCAUGAGACCGAUAGUAAACAAGUACCGUGAGGGAAAGUUGAAAAGAACUCUGAAUAGAGAGUUAAACAGUACGUGAAACUGCUUAGAGGUUAAGCCGAUGAACUGAAUAUCCGUUAUGGAAAAUUCAUCAUUAAAAUUGUAAUAUUUAAAUAAUAUUAUGAGAAUAGUGUGCAUUUUUUCCAUAUAAGGACAUUGUAAUCUAUUAGCAUAUACCAAAUUUAUCAUAAAAUAUAACUUAUAGUUUAUUCCAAUUAAAUUGCUUGCAUUUUAACACAGAAUAAAUGUUAUUAAUUUGAUAAAGUGCUGAUAGAUUUAUAUGAUUACAGUGCGUUAAUUUUUCGGAAUUAUAUAAUGGCAUAAUUAUCAUUGAUUUUUGUGUUUAUUAUAUGCACUUGUAUGAUUAACAAUGCGAAAGAUUCAGGAUACCUUCGGGACCCGUCUUGAAACACGGACCAAGGAGUCUAACAUAUGUGCAAGUUAUUGGGAUAUAAACCUAAUAGCGUAAUUAACUUGACUAAUAAUGGGAUUAGUUUUUUAGCUAUUUAUAGCUAAUUAACACAAUCCCGGGCGUUCUAUAUAGUUAUGUAUAAUGUAUAUUUAUAUUAUUUAUGCCUCUAACUGGAACGUACCUUGAGCAUAUAUGCUGUGACCCGAAAGAUGGUGAACUAUACUUGAUCAGGUUGAAGUCAGGGGAAACCCUGAUGGAAGACCGAAACAGUUCUGACGUGCAAAUCGAUUGUCAGAAUUGAGUAUAGGGGCGAAAGACCAAUCGAACCAUCUAGUAGCUGGUUCCUUCCGAAGUUUCCCUCAGGAUAGCUGGUGCAUUUUAAUAUUAUAUAAAAUAAUCUUAUCUGGUAAAGCGAAUGAUUAGAGGCCUUAGGGUCGAAACGAUCUUAACCUAUUCUCAAACUUUAAAUGGGUAAGAACCUUAACUUUCUUGAUAUGAAGUUCAAGGUUAUGAUAUAAUGUGCCCAGUGGGCCACUUUUGGUAAGCAGAACUGGCGCUGUGGGAUGAACCAAACGUAAUGUUACGGUGCCCAAAUUAACAACUCAUGCAGAUACCAUGAAAGGCGUUGGUUGCUUAAAACAGCAGGACGGUGAUCAUGGAAGUCGAAAUCCGCUAAGGAGUGUGUAACAACUCACUGCCGAAGCAACUAGCCCUUAAAAUGGAUGGCGCUUAAGUUGUAUACCUAUACAUUACCGCUAAAGUAGAUGAUUUAUAUUACUUGUGAUAUAAAUUUUGAAACUUUAGUGAGUAGGAAGGUACAAUGGUAUGCGUAGAAGUGUUUGGCGUAAGCCUGCAUGGAGCUGCCAUUGGUACAGAUCUUGGUGGUAGUAGCAAAUAAUCGAAUGAGACCUUGGAGGACUGAAGUGGAGAAGGGUUUCGUGUGAACAGUGGUUGAUCACGAGUUAGUCGGUCCUAAGUUCAAGGCGAAAGCCGAAAAUUUUCAAGUAAAACAAAAAUGCCUAACUAUAUAAACAAAGCGAAUUAUAAUACACUUGAAUAAUUUUGAACGAAAGGGAAUACGGUUCCAAUUCCGUAACCUGUUGAGUAUCCGUUUGUUAUUAAAUAUGGGCCUCGUGCUCAUCCUGGCAACAGGAACGACCAUAAAGAAGCCGUCGAGAGAUAUCGGAAGAGUUUUCUUUUCUGUUUUAUAGCCGUACUACCAUGGAAGUCUUUCGCAGAGAGAUAUGGUAGAUGGGCUAGAAGAGCAUGACAUAUACUGUUGUGUCGAUAUUUUCUCCUCGGACCUUGAAAAUUUAUGGUGGGGACACGCAAACUUCUCAACAGGCCGUACCAAUAUCCGCAGCUGGUCUCCAAGGUGAAGAGUCUCUAGUCGAUAGAAUAAUGUAGGUAAGGGAAGUCGGCAAAUUAGAUCCGUAACUUCGGGAUAAGGAUUGGCUCUGAAGAUUGAGAUAGUCGGGCUUGAUUGGGAAACAAUAACAUGGUUUAUGUGCUCGUUCUGGGUAAAUAGAGUUUCUAGCAUUUAUGUUAGUUACUUGUUCCCCGGAUAGUUUAGUUACGUAGCCAAUUGUGGAACUUUCUUGCUAAAAUUUUUAAGAAUACUAUUUGGGUUAAACCAAUUAGUUCUUAUUAAUUAUAACGAUUAUCAAUUAACAAUCAAUUCAGAACUGGCACGGACUUGGGGAAUCCGACUGUCUAAUUAAAACAAAGCAUUGUGAUGGCCCUAGCGGGUGUUGACACAAUGUGAUUUCUGCCCAGUGCUCUGAAUGUCAAAGUGAAGAAAUUCAAGUAAGCGCGGGUCAACGGCGGGAGUAACUAUGACUCUCUUAAGGUAGCCAAAUGCCUCGUCAUCUAAUUAUGACGCGCAUGAAUGAUCGUCAGCAUAACGGACGCGCAUGAAUGGAUUAACGACGGACGUGUUUUCGUUGCGCUCGUGGACAUAGUGCGGAAGAACUUUGUUUUCCGUAUUUGAAGUAUACGAAUAAAUAAUUUAGUGUUCCGUGAAGUGGUGCGCAAAUUUUCGCGAAUUAAAAACAAGCGGUUUGGAAGUAAUUGACAAUAAAUUAUUGGAAAUUUUCCACUCCGCACGUGUUGAGCGGCGAGCUUGGCGGGUGAGCUUUUCGAACAGCUGAGAGAAGCUUAUUGGUGGUAGUCACCGCUAAGGAUUGUGUCUUGGGACAGCUUAGUGCACUCUACCAAUAGGUGGAGCUAUCACCAUAGCAACUAGCCCGUGUCAGCGAAGCAUACGAUUGCUGGACUCGUCAAAAGGAGGAGCCACCAUCGGAGCAACGCCGAUGGAGAGCGACAGCAGUGUGAAGUGCCUUGAGCGGAAGCAGUGCUCAAAGGUGUCAAGACGAGGCAGGCGUAGAGGCCAUCUGCCUCCAAGAGCUCGGCGCCAACGCAGGCGAAACUGGUUGCCCUGGCCUCGAAUGGAGUGCCAGGAACCCGUUGGUGUGCUGGAGGAGGCGUUUUCAUCGCUGGAGGAUGCCCGGGCGGCUACGUCAAACGCUGCCAACGAUGCUGCCCCCCCGCU
rnacentral:rRNA from 1 species